UACGUAGGGCGCAAGCGUUGUCCGGAAUUAUUGGGCGUAAAGAGCUCGUAGGCGGUUUGUCGCGUCUGCCCGUGAAAGUCCGGGGCUCAACUCCGGAUCUGCGGUGGGUACGGGCAGACUAGAGUGAUGUAGGGGAGACUGGAAUUCCUGGUGUAGCGGUGAAAUGCGCAGAUAUCAGGAGGAACACCGGUGGCGAAGGCGGUUCUCUGGGCCUUACCUGACGCUGAAGAGCGAAAGCGUGGGGAGCGAACAGG
rnacentral:rRNA from 1 species